GAUGAACGCUGGCGGCGUGCCUAAUACAUGCAAGUCGAGCGAAUGGAUUAAGAGCUUGCUCUGGUGAAUUAGUGGCGAACGGGUGAGUAACACGUGAGUAACCUGCCCUUGACUCUGGGAUAACUGCGGGAAACUGUAGCUAAUACCGGAUACGACCCUCGGAGGCAUCUCCUGGGGGUGGAAAGAAUUUCGGUCAAGGAUGGACUCGCGGCCUAUCAGCUAGUUGGUGAGGUAAAGGCUCACCAAGGCGACGACGGGUAGCCGGCCUGAGAGGGUGACCGGCCACACUGGGACUGAGACACGGCCCAGACUCCUACGGGAGGCAGCAGUGGGGAAUAUUGCACAAUGGGCGCAAGCCUGAUGCAGCAACGCCGCGUGAGGGAUGACGGCCUUCGGGUUGUAAACCUCUUUUAGCAGGGAAGAAGCGAAAGUGACGGUACCUGCAGAAAAAGCACCGGCUAACUACGUGCCAGCAGCCGCCGCGG
rnacentral:rRNA from 1 species